GUGGACUUUGGCAGCGGCGCCCGGGGAGCGGAAGAAGGGCCCCGGUGGCCUCUGAGCAGGCCACUAAAGUCAUUUGGGACUUGUGAUGGAGCCCUGGGCCCCUGCCUGGCCGCCCCAGCCCCAGGAGAGGCAGGCAGCCUGGGGGACACGGGGAGAGGCGCCCCGUGGUCCCCCACCGCAGCCCCGGCGGCAGCUCCUCCGCACGGGGCCCCCGCCUCGGCCCGGCUCCUGGGAUGGGAGCCACCUCCCCGGCCACCCCUGGGACGAAGGCCACCACCCCCGGAGGGACGCCCACAGACCGGCUUCCCGGGCCGAGUACUACGACAGCAGCUACCCCAACAGGCUGCACUCCAGGCAAGGAUAUGAGGACCCCCACUGUCAGUAUCCAUCAGCCAGCUACAGAGAUUUCUAUGCCUACCAAAGCCACCAGUGGCAGCCGGUGGCCUGGCAGGAUGACAGAGGCCUGGGACAGGGUGAGCCUUACAGAAAGAGUACCAAUUACCAGGACCAGCACUACUACAGGGGUUACCACCCCGACCUCGCCACAACCCCCCUGGGGCAGGACAGGGCACAGACCUAUGACUCCUCUGAGGAGAGAUACAUCUCGGCUGCCCGGCCUGAGUGGACCGGGGGAAAAACCCUUGGCAGUGAUACAGGGGAAGCCAGUGGCCAGCCCCAAGAGCCCUCGGGCCAGCCCAGCCUGCUCCUGCAGUACCGUGAGUCAGGACUCAGCUCCAGCAGCCACGAGCUCAGCCAGUACAUCCGUGAUGGUGCCGACCACUACGACCCCAUGCUUUCAGGGACCUGGAGCCUGGCACAAGCAGGGGGGCACUCGGUAUCCACCCCAGCCCCGGUGGUACCCCUCAAGUUCUCACUGCCGCACAUGGCCGUGUGCUUUGGAGCCGGAGGCCAGCUGGUGGUGGUGUGUCCCCACCACCCUGCCGAGGGACAGCUAGCCCACGUUGAGCUACACAGCCUAGAGGUAAUCCUUCAUGACACGAAAGAGCUGGAGGAGCUACAGGCAUUUCCGGGGCCCCUGGCCAGGGAAGAUCUGCACAAGGUGGAUGUGAUGACAUUUUGCCAGCAGAAGAUAGCCACGAGCUGUGAUCUCUCAACACAGAGAGGCAGAGAUUCAUCUCUUCUCUGGAAACUCCUGAUCCUCCUCUGCCGGCAGAAUGGGUCCAUGGUGGGCUCAGACACAGCUGAGCUGCUGAUGCAAGACUGCCAGCGCCGAGAGAAGUACAAGAGGCAAAACCCUGCAGCAAACCUGAUUGGCCUGACGGAUGAUGAGUGGAUGUCGCGUCAGCCAGGGACACUGGACCUCAUCACGGGGGAGGUCCCUCCUGUCGUGGAGACGCAGGCACAGAUAGUGGAGAAGUUCACCAAGCUCCUCUACUAUGGUAGGAAGAAAGAUGCUCUGGUCUGGGCCAUGAGAAACCAUCUGUGGGGUCAUGCCCUCUUCCUCUCCAGCAAGAUGGACCCUCGGACCUACAGCUGGGUGCUCACUGGGUUCACCAGUACGCUGGCCACCAAUGACCCCCUGCAGACCCUCUUCCAGCUCAUGUCGGGAAGGAUCCCUCAGGCAGCGCUGUGCUGCGGGGAUGCCACAUGGGGAGACUGGAGGCCCCACCUGGCUGUGAUGUUGUCCAACAAGGUUGGAGACAUGGAGCUGAACCACCGAGCCAUCGUCACCAUGGGAGACACUUUGGCUGGCAAGGGAGCAGUCGAAGCAGCUCAUUUCUGCUACCUGAUGGCAGAUAUUCCUUUCGGUUACUUCGGGGUGAAGGCAGACCGCAUGGCUCUGCUGGGCAGCAGCCACCGUCAGGCGUUCGCCCAGUUUGCCAGGACGGAGGUCAUCCAGCGGAUGGAAAUCUUUGAGUACUGCCAGCAGCUACGACAGCCCAAAUCCUUCCUACUCCCCUUCCAGGUGUACAAGCUCCUCUAUGCCUCUCGCCUCGCCGACUAUGGACUCCCAGCCCAGGCCCUGCAAUACUGCGAGCAGAUUGCCACCACGCUUCUGGACCAGGAUCCGGCCAGCCACCCUGUCCUGGCCCAACAAGUGAUGAAGCUAGCUGAGCGGCUGAAGCUCUCCGACAUGCUGCUCCUGGAGAUGCCAGAACAGGACCAGACGCUGGAGCCUGACUGGCUGGUACAGCUCCGAGCCUGCUGCCGGGAGUGGGAGGUGGAAGACGACGUCCCUUCAGAGGUGGCACCUGCUCAGCCAGGACUCUCCUGGGCUGCUGCAUCCAUGGCAGAUGGAGAGCCUGGCUGUGAGAUUCCACAGAGUGAAGGCUACCAGUAUGACCAGUGGUACCAGCCCGUGCCACCCCAGGGACCCAGCUCCCAUGAGGACGUGUCCCUCCAGCCCCAGGCACCUGCUCAGGUCACAGCAUCGCCACUGCCUGGCGUUCGGCAAGAGCUGCAGCCCCCCACGCUGGGCCCAGGGAUGGCCACCCCUCUGGGAGGAGGGGGUUUUGCUGAGCCCCCUCCACAGGUGGUGCCAACGGCAGGAGAAGCUGGGGAGUCCUGGGGUGCCCCGCUGUCCCCCAGUGGGGUGCAGCCAUCCCUCCCAGCAGAGCAGGAGGAGUUAAAGGCAAGGGCUCGGACCAUCUCAGAGACCUCCACUGUCUCCUUGGGAGAUGACAGCCAGCCUUCCUCGGAGAGUACAGCCGAAGACACCAGUGAAGAGCCGGCACCAGCAGAGGCAGCGAAGCCAGAUGAGGAUAAGAGCUCUGGAUUCAGGUGGUUUGGCUGGUUUCGGUCGAAGCCCACCAAGGAAACACCUUCCAAAGCCACCUCUGAGACAGCCCUGAACUCCCCCACAUCGGAAGUGCAGGACCGGACGUCACCAUCCCCAGUUGAUGCUCCUCUUGCGGCUGGGACAAGCCCUUUGGCUCAGUCUCCAUCCAGAAACCCCGGAGGAAUGCAAGGUGAAAAUACCUUUCUUAUUACUCCGGUGUCCAUUGAGGUGAGAGGCUCAUGGGAUGCAGAAAGCGGGGAGUCAGCAGGAGAGAAGACUGGCUCCCACAAACCUCCCCCACCGGUGGGUUCAGUCCCGCUCUUCAACCCUGCCCAGGUCUCUCAGCCAGCCCUGCUGAGUUUCCAACCUUCAAAGCCCAUCAUAUCCAGCUGGAUGAGAGCAAGCUUGCCAAGGGGAAGUGUUCGUCCUCUGCUCUUCUUUGGUUUUCUGAGUGGCCCACGACUGUAACGGAUGCCAAGCAGCCCUGACCUUCACCUGACUGGAGUUCCCGCUGCUACUGCGUUAUUACAGCUUCUCUGCCUGAUACAAAUUCAGCUUGGUUCCUCUACCUGGAAAUUUUAUGUGACAAAUGGGUCUCAUUUCUGAUUCUUGUCUCCCUUUGAUGGACCAGGCUGUCUGCUACCUGGGAGGCGUUCGUAGAUCUGAAAGGCCGGAAGGAAGCAUUACAUUUCUCUCCUUUGCCUCCUAUUAACAGUGUGCCAGAGAGACUAAUCCAGCAUUUGAAUUUCAGCCAGGGACCUCCAUAGCACUUUAUCCAGAAGCAAUCUCUUCACGUGCAAAAAAGGAAGCUGGUCACUCCACUGGCUCUUGUCUGGUGUCCCUCAAGCAGGUGGAAGCUGGAGCUGCAUCAGGUUUGCUGCAGCAUCAGGCUGAGGACCAGUGCAGCCCUGUUUGUCAGCUCUCGUUUCUUUGGCAGCUUUCACUUGGAGAGGUGUCCAGCACACCUGGAAUCAACUGACCCAGGGGUGGAAACACAGCCAUACCUUUGCCAUGGACUGAUCCAGACGGCACUGGAACAGGGUGAAGCUUGGGAACAUCUGCAGUACAUUGAUGAUCUUCAUAUGGGGCAACACAGCAGAAGUUUUGGAGAAAGGGAAUAAAAUAGUUCAAAUCCUUCUGAAAGACAGUUUUGCCAUCAAACGAAGUAAGGUCAAGGGACCUGCACAGGAAAUCCAGUUUUUAGGAAUAAAAUGGCAAGAUGGAUGCCAUCAGAUCCCAAUAGAUUUGAUCAACAAAACAGAAGCUAUGUCUCCACUGACUAGCAAGAAGGAAACACAACUUAGGUGGAUGCAUAUUCCCAAUUAGAGUCUUAGUGAUAGUCCUCUCUAUCAAGUGACCUGGAAGAAGAACAAUUUUAAAUGGGGCCCUGAGCAACUACAAGCCUUUGAACAAAUCAAACAGGAAAUACUUCAUGCAGUAGUUCUGGGGCCAGUCCAGGCAGGGCAAGAUGUUAAAAAUGUGCUCUAUGCUGCAACUGGGGAGAAUGGCCCUACUUGGAGCCUCUGGCAGAAAGCACUGGGGGGCCUCGAGGUUGACCCCUAGGGCUUUGGAGUCAGAGAUACAGAGAUCCCCAGAUAUAGAUUUCACUGUCCUCCAACUGAAAAAGAGAUAUUGGCACCAUGCGAAGGGGUUUGAGCUGCUUCAGAAGCGGUUGGUGCUGAACCACAGCUCCUCUUAGCACCUUGAGUGUCGCUGCUGGGCUGGAUGUUCAAAGGGAGGGUCCCCUCUACACAUCAUGCAACUGAUGUGGGAGCGGAGUAAGUGGGUUGUGCUGAUCACACAGCAGGCUUGAGUGGGAAACCCCAGUUGCGCAGGAAUUCUGGAAGCGAUCAUGGACUGGCCAGAAGGCAAAGAUUUCAGAAUAUUACCAGAGGAAGAGGUGACACGUGCUGAAGACGCUGCACUGUACAAUAAACUACCAGAAAAUGAGAAGCAAUAUGCCCUGUUCACUGUUGGGUCCUGUAGUACUGUAGGAAAACAUCAAAGGUGGAAGGCUGCUGGGUGGAGUCCUACACAACGAGUUACAGAAACUCAGUUUGUGGAAGUGAAAGCUAUCCAGCUGGCUUUAGAUGUUGCAUAUCAAGAAAAGUGGCCAGUGCUCUAUCUCUACACUGACUUGUGAAUGGUGGCAAAUGCUUGGUGGGGGUGGUUACAGCAGUGGAAGCAGGGCAACUGGCAGUGCAGAGGCAAACCCAUCUGAGCUGCCCCAUCGUGGCAAGAUAUUGCUGCCCGGCUAGAGAAUUUGGUUGUGAAAGUAGAUCACAUAGAUACCCAUGUAUUUACGAGUUGGGCCACUAAGGAAUAUCAAAACAACCAGCAAAUGGAUCAGGCUGCUAAGACUGAAGUGGCUCCGGUGGAUCUGGACUGGCAACAGAAGAGUAAAUUAUUUAUAGCUCGGUGGGCCCAUGACACCUAGGCCAUCAAGUAAGAGAUGCAACAUAUAGGUGGGCUCGUCACUGAGGGGUGGACUUGACCAUGGACACUAUUGCACAGGUUAUCCACGAAUGUGAAACGUGCUGCAAUCAAGCAAGCCAAGUGGUUAAAGCCUCUCUGGUAUGGAGGACGAAGGUUGAAAUAUAAAUACGGGGAGGCCUGGCGGAUUGGUUACAUCACACUCCCACAAACCCACCAAGGCAAGUGCCUUAAGCUCACAAUGGUGGAAGCAACCAUUGGCUGGCUGGAAACAUAUCCUGUGCCCUGUGCAACCACCUGGAACACUAUCCUGGGCCUUGAAAAGCAAGUCCUGUGGCGACAUGGCACCCCUGAGAGAACUGAGUCAGGCAAUGGGACUCAUUUCUGAAACAACCUCAUAGACACUUGGGCCAAAGAGCGUGGCAUUGAGUGGGUAUACCACCUUCUCUAUCACACGCCAGGCUCUGGGGACAUAGAGCGAUACAAUGGACUGCUAAAAACUACACUGAGAGCAAUGGAUGGUGGGACCUUAAAACACUGGGAUACACAUUUAGCAAAAGCUACCUGGUUAGUUAACACCAGGGGAUCUACCAAUAGAGCUGCCCCUGCCCAAUCAAAACUUCCACGUACCGUAGAAGGGGAUGAAGUCCCCAUAGUGCAUAUGGGUGCACUUGGUGGGUGAUGCGGAAGGUUGGGGAGAUCUGAUGUGUACCUCAUGGGGAUGGGGAUUUGAUUUUGGGUGAGAAUAGCCAAUGAAUCAAAUUCGAGGAUGUUAAUUGCUAAAUAACCUUGCCACUGUGUGUCGUCACCACUACAAUUGCCAUGUGCCAUAUCAAUGGUAGUACAGAACGGUUCACCCAGACUAAUGAAGGAUGAACUUUGAUGACAACUGAGUAAAAUGCAGCGGUGAUGGGAACAGAACUGGCUGCAGCAACUGGCGCCCAGCAACUCCCUUGAGAUCAACAUCUUCAGCCUGCAGACUGUGGGCAUGGGUCACACCAGAUACACCAUCUGCGAGCUCUGGAUACAGCAUGCAACAGUCCAGCACCACACACCGUCUCUUCUGCCCUGAGAGACUGUUGUGGCAGAUGGAGCUAUAAGUCCAUGAACUCAAUGGACGUUUUAGAGGUAUGGCCCAUAGAUUAAGGGAAUGAGAUCUCUGUGCAUGUAUGUGUGUGUAUAUAUAUAUAUUUCAAAAACAGGGAAAAGUGGUGGUCAUUCACUGGAAAGCGUAUGAUCCAGGCAUGACAUAGACGGUAUAGAAUAAGGGGUGGAUAAUCUCCUGGUUCUGGUGGGGAUAGCGUUAAUUUUCACCAGAAGCUGGGACGGGGCACAGCCAGGAGGCUUACCCAAACUAGCCAAAGUGGCA